GAGAACCUGCCUCAGCCUCCACAGAACACUGGGGCUUGCCUUACCUGUACAGAAACAAUCACUGGGCUGCUGAACACGUCCCUUGGGACAGGUGAUCCCUCCAGGUCACAGGCCUGCUGGUGCUCACAGCCAGCGGCCACAACAGCCAGGGGACAGCAGGACCCACAGCAAGGGGACACUGGGGACAGCAGGACCCACAGCCAGGAGCAUUGGGGACAGCCAUACCCACAGCCAGGGGACACUGGGGACAGCCAUACCCACAGCCAGGGGACAGCAGGACCCAAAGCAAGGGGACACUGGGGACAGCCAUACCCACAGCCAGGGGACAGCAGGACCCACAGCAAGGGGACACUGGGGACAGCCAUACCCACAGCCAGGGGACACUGGGGACAGCAGGACCCACAGCCAGGGAACAUUGGGGACAGCCAUACCCACAGCCAGGGGACAGCCAUACCCACAGCCAGGGGACACUGGGGACAGCCAUACCCACAGCCAGGGAACAUUGGGGACAGCCAUACCCACAGCCAGGGGACAGCCAUACCCACAGCCAGGGGACACUGGGGACAGCCAUACCCACAGCCAGGGGACACUGGGGACAGCCAUACCCACAGCCAGGGGACAGUAGAACCCACAGCUAUGAGACACUGGUACUCACGGCCAGGGGACACUGGUACCCAGAGUCCAUCAAUACUCACGGCCGGGGACACGGCUACUCACAGCCAUCAGUACUCACAGCCCACAAGUACUCACAGCCAGCGGCCAGAAGAGGAACCGCAACCGCGCGUCGAGCCUCAGCAGGUAGAGCAGCAGGAACAGGAAGGUGAUCACCGUCUCCAUGCCGGCCAGCGCCGUGUAGGCCCCGUGCGCGCCCGAGGCCGCAAAGCAGAUGAAGGCGGCCAGCGCCACCAGCUGCGGGACAGGAGGGGACGGGGUCAGCGCCGGCCCGCGCCUUGCCCGCGGGCCCCGGGCCGCCCCCGGCCGUACCGUGCGGGAGAUCUUCAGCGCGCCCCGCGGCGAGCGGGGGAAGGCCCGGUCCACCUGCACCCGCCCUGUGGCGGCCGGGCGGCGCGCGGCGGGACCGGGACUCCGGGACGGCGGGAGCCGGGGAGAUCCCGGGGCCGAUCCCGCAGGUGA
rnacentral:lncRNA from 1 species